CUGAAGAAAGGCGACGUGGUGCUCAACUGCUACAGGUGUGCCCGUGGCUCCACCUCCCUGGAGUCUUUCCAUCUUCACCUGACUAGGUUUAUCCCAGGUGUGCAAGAUGUAGCCGAUUAGGCUGACGAGGGACGCGUGGGUCCACCUGAUGCUCCUUCAAAAUGACCUGGCUCUUUUUUCUACGUAGGAGAGAGCAGCGAGGGCAAGAUGACGUCCUUCUCAGUGCCUCCCGUUCAAUCUUGAGCGGCGUGCCUCUUUGAAGGACUUUAAAGUUCAUAUUCUGGCUUUUGUUUUGUUUCACUCUUUGGUUGAAUUUGUAGCGCUGGCUUUGAAAAGUAAAAUAAGUGAACUGGCUCCAUGCCUCCUCUACAUUAUUUCUCACUUGUGAUGUGAGCGUAACACUCCUUUUGUAAUGUAUGUCUGGUUGUAAUGGAAAUUGUGUUAUAACAGGAGGAGCAUGGCAUAUAAUUCUGUGACCUGGGGUCCUGACUUUUUUGUGUUCAUGUAUUUAUCCAUCAGGAACCAGUG